rfam:Nematostella vectensis strain CH2 x CH6 NEMVEscaffold_129_Cont14636, whole genome shotgun sequence.
UCCCAUAUGGUCUAGUCGUUAGGAUCCGGCGCUCUCAUCGCCGUGGCCCUGGUUCGAUUCCCGGUGUGGGAA